UACGUAGGGUCCAAGCGUUAUCCGGAAUCACUGGGCGUAAAGCGUGCGUAGGCGGUUUGUUAAGUGAGAUGUUAAAGCGUGUGGCUCAACCAUAUCGUUGUGUCUCAUACUGGCAGACUAGAGGAAGGCAGAGGCAAGUGGAAUUAGCAGUGUAGCAGUGAAAUGCGUAGAGAUGUGGAGGAACACCGAUGGCGAAGGCAGCCCCCUGGGUCAACACUGACGCUCAUGCACGAAAGCGUGGGGAGCAAACAGG
rnacentral:rRNA from 1 species